rnacentral:tRNA from 1 species
AAUAUGUUAGUUUAAUUGGAAAAACCUGGUAGUUAAACUAUCAAGACGCUAAGUUCAAAUCUUACACGUAUUAC